CAGCAGAUGGAGGAGGGGCUGCAGUGGACAUGGAAACUGGGAGACAGCAGAUGGAGGAGGGGCUGCAGUGGAGGCUGUGAAGGUGCCGAGCUUAAACUGGCCACACUGGCCGACAUCCAUCAAAGGGGUUCAAGGGAGAAUCUUCAUUGGAAAUCAGUGAGCAGAUCGUCUCUGGCCUGGAAGGGUGAAGCUGCAAAUGGGUUCUGUCGAGCAGCAUGGCGCUGUACAGCAAGGGCAAAAGGAAAAGACAGGAAGCUGGUUUCUACUCCACUACUGACAGUUCCUGUGCCCCGGGGGGAGCUGCUGGACGGGACGAGCGCGGACACGCCUCCGAGGAGGAGCAGGAGGAGCUCUGCAGUCCGAGAUGAUCAUUCUACUAUAAUGCUGAGAACUGCCGGAGCCCACAAGCGGCCCGCAUUAAAAACUCCCCGUUCUGGGGCAAUCCGACGGACCGCUUGCCGCGUCCAGUAAGACACAGCAACGGAACAAAUGGCUAUUGACGGCCACCUGCUUUCAAUAAAAGUCUGAAGGCCGUCCAGUAGGGCAGAAGUUGAUCACGAGCCUUUCACAAUACAUCCCAGUAAACCUUUUAAGAAAACUUUUCAAGGAUGUUGUUAUAUAAAUGGAGCCUGAAUGUUCUCCCACAGUUUGGACUGGGUUCUCCAGGGUACUUUCCACCCAUGCACAGUCUGAGAACACGCAGUAAAAUAAACCGGCGACUCCACAUCGCCGAUAGUGAUGUACCAGCAUCCUUUUCAGGGUGUCCCCUGCCUCGUGCCCUUUCAAACUCAGCGCUGGCUCCAGGCUAACCACAACCUUGUACUGGGAAAGCAAUUACACAAAAUAGAUGUACAGGAGAUUCACAAAUGGCACAAUAUCAAUACAUUUUACCAAAAUGCUCACGCGUCAGACUAUAGCUUUGACCUUGAUUCUGUGUCCCCCUGGUUGUUCAGUAUUUCUGCAUUCACCCCUUUUCCUCCUCUUGGUCUCAGUUGUAUUUCAUCAUCUAUCCUGGAAUUUCACUGCUCAGAUCUGUACUGAUCUCAGUUCACAUUUUCAAAGGCUUAAAUUCUGCAGCAGCCCCUGCUCCCAAAAGCGCAGAGUGCGACUUUGCUGUACAAAUCCAUUUGUGCCUGGAGAAUCGUGGGCGAGUGCUAACCAAAGCCGCUGCCAUUUGUACAUUAAACAGUGGCGGAUGUCAAACACUGUACAGCUGUGCCAAUAUGGGUAAAUAACAGAAUGAGUCAUUUAAAGGGAAAAAAAUCCUGCAUA